rnacentral:rRNA from 1 species
UACGUAGGUGGCAAGCGUUGUCCGGAAUUACUGGGCGUAAAGGGCGCGUAGGCGGCCUGCUAAGUCGAACGUGAAAUCCCUGGGCUCAACCCAGGAACUGCGUCCGAUACUGGUUGGCUUGAAUCCGGGAGAGGGAUGUGGAAUUCCAGGUGUAGCGGUGAAAUGCGUAGAUAUCUGGAGGAACACCGGUGGCGAAGGCGGCAAUCCUGGACCGGCAUUGGACGCU